AACGAACGCUGGCGGCAUGCCUAACACAUGCAAGUCGAACGAGACCUUCGGGUCUAGUGGCGCACGGGUGCGUAACGCGUGGGAAUCUGCCCUUGGGUUCGGAAUAACAGUUAGAAAUGACUGCUAAUACCGGAUGAUGACGUAAGUCCAAAGAUUUAUCGCCCAAGGAUGAGCCCGCGUAAGAUUAGCUUGUUGGUGGGGUAAUGGCCUACCAAGGCGACGAUCUUUAGCUGGUCUGAGAGGAUGAUCAGCCACACUGGGACUGAGACACGGCCCAGACUCCUACGGGAGGCAGCAGUGGGGAAUAUUGGACAAUGGGCGAAAGCCUGAUCCAGCAAUGCCGCGUGAGUGAUGAAGGCCUUAGGGUUGUAAAGCUCUUUUACCAGGGAUGAUAAUGACAGUACCUGGAGAAUAAGCUCCGGCCAACUCCGUGCCAGCCGCCGCGGUAA
rnacentral:rRNA from 1 species